GACGAACGCUGGCGGCGUGCUUAACACAUGCAAGUCGAACGGAAAGGCCCUGCGUUUGUGGGGUGGUCGAGUGGCGAACGGGGGUGUGACACGUGUGUAACAUGCCCUUAUAUGUGGGGUAUAUUUAGGAAAAUGCGGCUCUUACCGGGGAGGAGCUCCUGAUGCGUAGUGGGGGUUGGAAAGUGUCGGCGGUUGGGGAUAGAUUAGCGGCUUAUGAGCUUGUUGGUGGGGUAGUGGCUUACCAAGUCUGUGAAGGGUAGCAUGCCUGAGAGGGUGACCGGGGACAUUGGUACUGAGAGACGGAGCAGACGCCUAUGGGAGGCAGCAGUCGGGAAUAUUGCAGAAUGGGCGGAAGCCUGAUGCAGCAACGCCGCGUGCGGGAUGAUGGCCUACGGGGGGUAAACCGCUUUCGCAGGUGACGAAGCGGGAGUGACGGUAAUGGGUAAAGAAGCACCGGCUAACUACGUG
rnacentral:rRNA from 1 species